rnacentral:rRNA from 1 species
AGCAGUAGGGAAUCUUCCGCAAUGGACGAAAGUCUGACGGAGCAACGCCGCGUGAGUGAUGAAGGUUUUCGGAUCGUAAAGCUCUGUUGUUAGGGAAGAACAAGUGCGAGAGUAACUGCUCGCACCUUGACGGUACCUAACCAGAAAGCCACGGCUAACUACGUGCCAGCAGCCGCGGUAAUACGUAGGUGGCAAGCGUUGUCCGGAAUUAUUGGGCGUAAAGGGCUCGCAGGCGGUUUCUUAAGUCUGAUGUGAAAGCCCCCGGCUCAACCGGGGAGGGUCAUUGGAAACUGGGAAACUUGAGUGCAGAAGAGGAGAGUGGAAUUCCACGUGUAGCGGUGAAAUGCGUAGAGAUGUGGAGGAACACCAGUGGCGAAGGCGACUCUCUGGUCUGUAACUGACGCUGAGGAGCGAAAGCGUGGGGAGCGAACAGGAUUAGAUACCCUGGUAGUCCACGCCGUAAACGAUGAGUGCUAAGUGUUAGGGGGUUUCCGCCCCUUAGUGCUGCAGCUAACGCAUUAAGCACUCCGCCUGGGGAGUACGGUCGCAAGACUGAAACUCAAAGGAAUUGACGGGGGCCCGCACAAGCGGUGGAGCAUGUGGUUUAAUUCGAAGCAACGCGAAGAACCUUACCAGGUCUUGACAUCCUCUGACAACCCUAGAGAUAGGGCUUUCCCUUCGGGGACAGAGUGACAGGUGGUGCAUGGUUGUCGUCAGCUCGUGUCGUGAGAUGUUGGGUUAAGUCCCGCAACGAGCGCAACCCUUGAUCUUAGUUGCCAGCAUUUAGUUGGGCACUCUAAGGUGACUGCCGGUGACAAACCGGAGGAAGGUGGGGAUGACGUCAAAUCAUCAUGCCCCUUAUGACCUGGGCUACACACGUGCUACAAUGGACAGAACAAAGGGCUGCGAGACCGCAAGGUUUAGCCAAUCCCAUAAAUCUGUUCUCAGUUCGGAUCGCAGUCUGCAACUCGACUGCGUGAAGCUGGAAUCGCUAGUAAUCGCGGAUCAGCAUGCCGCGGUGAAUACGUUCCCGGGCCUUGUACACACCGCCCGUCACACCACGAGAGUUUGCAACACCCGAAGU